GACGAACGCUGGCGGCGUGCCUAAUACAUGCAAGUCGAACGCUUCUUUCCUCCCGAGUGCUUGCACUCAAUUGGAAAGAGGAGUGGCGGACGGGUGAGUAACACGUGGGUAACCUACCCAUCAGAGGGGGAUGACACUUGGAAACAGGUGCUAAUACCGCAUAACAGUUUAUGCCGCAUGGCAUAAGAGUGAAAGGCGCUUUCGGGUGUCGCUGAUGGAUGGACCCGCGGUGCAUUAGCUAGUUGGUGAGGUAACGGCUCACCAAGGCCACGAUGCAUAGCCGACCUGAGAGGGUGAUCGGCCACACUGGGACUGAGACACGGCCCAGACUCCUACGGGAGGCAGCAGUAGGGAAUCUUCGGCAAUGGGCGAAAGUCUGACCGAGCAACGCCGCGUGAGUGAAGAAGGUUUUCGGAUCGUAAAACUCUGUUGUUAGAGAAGAACAAGGACGUUAGUAACUGAACGUCCCCUGACGGUAUCUAACCAGAAAGCCACGGCUAACUACGUG
rnacentral:rRNA from 1 species